GAAUGUGCAAAGUGUCAUCUCCAAGCAGCAGGGUGCAAUCUCUACCUGGCUCCAGCUGGAUGUUGUUUAGAAGGCUGUGGAAUCUUGUCACCGUCUUUGUGGAGCCAACUCUAUUCCCUCUCCAGGUCUGAAAUAUGUGGCUUCCUCUUGUGCACUGGUCUCCUACUCAGAGACAGCCUUGCUUCUGACAGCCUCCCUUUGGACAUAGACAGGCUUGGAGCCUGCCUGCUGUGCUUGGAAUUGAUGUAACUCCAGCCCAAAACUGAGAUGCAAAAUCUUUUUUAUAGCCAGCUUCAGAGAGAGGAGUGAGUAAGAUAGCAGGCAGAGGAAAACUUGGAAGAAAGUUUACAUGUUGAAAGGUGAACAAGAAGUAAAUAACUUUGUUUACAAAGGAGUUGGGGAAAGCUAUUUCACUGUGAGCCUUGAAGACAGAAAGCAGAGGACUCUGAGAGCACCCGGCCCCUGUCAUUCUCUUCAUUUUCCCUUCAGUCUUUUGCUUUAGACAAUGAGGAUACAAAACAAGAUGAAGGCCUAGGGCUCUGUCAGGCUUGCUUGUGUCAUAAGAAAACAAUGUGCUCAGAGAACACACAGGACUAGUCCCUUAAAAGGAUUUUUCUUUUUUUCACCCUCUGGAAAGAUGCUUCCCAUAUUCUGAGAGUCCCUCAAAGGCCCUUGUAUCUGCCUUUUGUCUGGGAGGAAGCAGAGAUUGUGGGAUUUAGAGGCCCAGAACAAGAAGCAAAGAGCACCAUGGGCAGCAUAAAUCUACAGAUCCAGGGGGUCAUGACAGAGAAGGACAGGCCGUAGAAGAGAGGAACAUGGCAGCAGAAGGGAAUACAGUGAGAAUGCACGUGACAGUAGACUAUGAUUUAACAUAUUAUGCAUACAUGGAGUAUAAUCCCCAGUACCGAAAAGGAAAGAAAAAAAAAAAAAAAAAAGAAGAAGGAUACAAAGAAAGAAAGGUGGGAGGCAAGACUUCAGAGUGAAAUGAGGAUUAAAAUCUUGAGAACCUGACUACACAGAUAUGUAUCAAAGACUGCUGAAAAAAACUUCAUUUGCUGAAGAUAACAAGGAGGUAUUCUAAUCAGAUCCCAUUCUUUUGGUUGAACAUGAUGUGGAAUUACACUGGUCGUGUAUUCAUACAUGAAGAUAGGAAAGUUAUGUCUGAUUCCUUCUAUUGUCUUUCCUAUUCCUGUUCCUUCUUUCCCCCUUGUCUAAUCCACUGAACUUCUAUUCUUCCCUUCCCCCUGAUUUAUCUUAGUGAAGCUUGGUUUAGUGAAUGUUAGGAAAAGGGAGACAAGAAAAAUCAGUCUGUAAUGUUUUAUGUUGUUGUGAAUAAAGCUUAGAAACAUGAUAUACAAAAGUUUUACAGACCUCCAAUGAACAAAAAAACUAAUCAAGCAAUUUAUAUUUAGAAUAUACACUAUAUAAUUAGGAAAUAAAGCUAUUUUAAAAUCAAUAUAAAUCCUUAAAAUCUUAGUAAGGUCACAAACAUGUAAGAAUAGGGGGCUGGGAAUGUAGCUCAUAGGUAGAACUUGGCCUAACAUGCUUGAGACCCUGGUUUUGAUUCCUUGCAUUGGGGGAAAAAUAAUAAUUCUUAAUUAAUAAGUUAUUAAGAUAACUGUAUGAGAGAAAAAGUGUUCAUAAGUGUUGAGUAAAAUAUAAGAGAAAAGGAUAGUUAACAAUUGCAAGGGACCUGGGGUUCUAGCUCAGUGGUGCAGUGUUUUCUACUAUGCAUGAGGUCCUGAAUUCGAUCUUCAGCGCUGCCAAAAAAUAGAACUACAACUGUAAGAUAAGUAAGAAGAAGCAAUUGGAAACACUCUUUUUCUUAGGGAAGGUUUCUGAAGGUUUGUGACGAUAGUGCACAAUAGAGCCUCAUAGAAUUGGUAGUCCAGGGAGGAUGAACAAGAAUCGGUAUGUCCUGGUUCUGUGAAUAGGGACUGGUGUGGGGACAGGAAGGUGAGGGUUCUGGAGGGAAGGAGGGAAGCUGUCAUGGGGAAUAGAAAAUGAAGAAUCUUGACAUCCAGGCUGGAUGCAAACCAAGGAGGUAGCCAUUGUGUAGUGCUGAUGAAUCGGAUUAAGAAUCAAAUAAAAGCCAGGUGCCUGGUACUCACAUUUGUAAUCCCAGCUGCUUGGAAAGCUCAGGCAGGAAGAUUACAAGUUGGAAAGUCAGCCUCAGCAACCGAGGGAGGCCCU